CCUACGGGAGGCAGCAGUGGGGAAUAUUGGACAAUGGGCGAAAGCCUGAUCCAGCAAUGCCGCGUGAGUGAUGAAGGCCUUCGGGUCGUAAAGCUCUUUUACCAGGGAUGAUAAUGACAGUACCUGGAGAAUAAGCUCCGGCUAACUCCGUGCCAGCAGCCGCGGUAAUACGGAGGGAGCUAGCGUUGUUCGGAAUUACUGGGCGUAAAGAGUACGUAGGCGGUUAUUCAAGUCAGAGGUGAAAGCCCGGGGCUCAACCCCGGAACUGCCUUUGAAACUAGAUAACUAGAGUCUUGGAGAGGUUAGUGGAAUUCCGAGUGUAGAGGUGAAAUUCGUAGAUAUUCGGAAGAACACCAGUGGCGAAGGCGACUAACUGGACAAGUACUGACGCUGAGGUACGAAAGCGUGGGGAGCAAACAGGAUUAGAUACCCUGGUAGUCCACGCCGUAAACGAUGAUAACUAGUUGUUCGGUCACUUGGUGACUGAGUGACGCAGCUAACGCAUUAAGUUAUCCGCCUGGGGAGUACGGUCGCAAGAUUAAGACUCAAAUGAAUUGACGGCUGNGAGNGCGAGACGACGACGAGGAGAG
rnacentral:rRNA from 1 species